rnacentral:tRNA from 1 species
GCCGAAGUGGUGAAAUUGGUAGACACGCAGCCUUGAGGGGGCUGUGAUCUUACGGUCGUGUCGGUUCGAGUCCGACCUUCGGCACCA